rnacentral:rRNA from 1 species
ACGGGAGGCAGCAGUGGGGAAUAUUGCACAAUGGGGGAAACCCUGAUGCAGCGAUGCCGCGUGGAGGAAGAAGGUUUUCGGAUUGUAAACUCCUGUCUUAAAGGACGAUAAUGACGGUACUUUAGGAGGAAGCUCCGGCUAACUACGUGCCAGCAGCCGCGGUAAUACGUAGGGAGCGAGCGUUGUCCGGAAUUACUGGGUGUAAAGGGAGCGUAGGCGGGAUUGCAAGUCAGAUGUGAAAUACAGGGGCUCAACCUCUGGGCUGCAUUUGAAACUGUAUCUCUUGAGUGCUGGAGAGGUAGAUGGAAUUCCUAGUGUAGCGGUGAAAUGCGUAGAUAUUAGGAAGAACACCAGUGGCGAAGGCGAUCUACUGGACAGUAACUGACGCUGAGGCGCGAAAGCGUGGGGAGCAAACAGGAUUAGAUACCCUGGUA